rnacentral:rRNA from 1 species
CGUCAAGUCCUCAUGGCCUUUAUGACCAGGGCUGCACACGUCCUACAAUGGUGCAUACAAAGCGACGCAAGCUCGCGAGAGUUAGCAAAUCGCAAAAAAUGUACCUCAGUUCGGAUUGCAGGCUGCAACCCGCCUGCAUGAAGCCGGAAUCGCUAGUAAUCGCGGGUCAGCAUACCGCGGUGAAUGUGUUCCUGAGCCUU